ACCCUUAGAUGUUCUGGGCUGCACGCGCGCUACACUGACACGAUCAACGAGUUUGUCCUUUCCCGAUAGGGCUGGGUAAUCUUUUCAAAUCGUGUCGUGAUGGGGAUAGAUUAUUGCAAUUAUUAAUCUUAAACGAGGAAUUCCUAGUAAGUGCAAGUCAUCAGCUUGCGCUGAUUACGUCCCUGCCCUUUGUACACACCGCCCGUCGCUCCUACCGAUUGAGCGAUCCGGUGAGCAAUUCGGACCACGAAACAUUCGUGUUUCGCGAGAAGUUUCGCAAACCUUAUCGCUUAGAGGAAGGAGAAGUCGUAACA
rnacentral:rRNA from 1 species